GUGUGUCACUGUGGGGGUGAGUGUUGAGGUUUCAUGUAUGCUCAAGCCACACCCAAUGCCUCAGACCACUUCCUCUUGCCUGCAGAAUCAAAAUGUAACCCCUCCUUCACUCUUAGCUCCUUCUCCAACACCAUGUCUGCCUGCACUCCAUCAUGUCCCACAAUGAUGAUAUUGGACUAAACCUCUGAAAUUGACAGCCCUGUGCAAUAUGCAGAAGAUACGUGGUUGGAAAUCCAGAAUGUGGCUCAGACGAAGGGAAAAUAGGCAGGUGUUAAAAUAAGCAUAGAUGCAUCUAAAUGGGAGACUUUAAUAACUGAAGACUAUUCCUCCCUCUUCUGCUCAGGUGUGGCACAUGAAGGAAACUACACAGAAGACUAGAAAAGAAAAAUCAGUUAAAAUUGUUACAGUAAUUAUAAGUCACAGC